AUACGGAGGGUGCAAGCGUUAAUCGGAAUUACUGGGCGUAAAGCGUGCGUAGGUGGUUUGUUAAGUCAGAUGUGAAAGCCCCGGGCUCAACCUGGGAACUGCAUUUGAAACUGGCAUACUAGAGUAUAGGAGAGGAAAGUGGAAUUUCAGGUGUAGCGGUGAAAUGCGUAGAUAUCUGAAGGAACAUCAAUGGCGAAGGCAGCUUUCUGGACUAAUACUGACACUGAGGUACGAAAGCGUGGGUAGCAAACAGGAUUAGAAACCCUAGUAGUCC
rnacentral:rRNA from 1 species